GAAACCACGUCACAAAUAAAUCAUCAAAUUAGUCUCCAAAAAGAACAUCGAGAAGGCGAAACACCCUGUCUUCAACUCCCGAAAGAGUACCAUAGACGAAAGCCUUCAACUUCGAUUCUCACAAUUUUGGACUCUCAGUCAAUUGCUCAUACAAUCCAAAACGGUAUAAUGGUGCUAUCGCAGCUGCACGGAGCGUUCAAAGGGACGGUAGAGAGAAUCACAAGUCCUCGUACCGUCUCUGCUUUCAAAGAGAAAGGCGUUCUCAGCGUUAACGAGUUCGUUAUUGCUGGCGAUAAUCUUGUCUCCAAAUGCCCUACCUGGUCUUGGGAAUCAGGUGACCCUAGUAAGAGGAAGUCAUAUUUACCAGCUGACAAGCAAUUCCUGAUCACUAGAAAUGUUCCUUGUCUGAGAAGAGCUGCAUCAGUAGAGGAAGAAUAUGAGGCUGCAGGAGGUGAAGUUCUGCUUGAUAACGAGGACAAUGAUGGUUGGCUGGCAACUCAUGGGAAACCAAAAGAAAACAAAGGUGCUGAGGAUGAUAACUUGCCAUCUAUAGAAGCAUUAGAGAUCAGCAAAAAGAACUCUAUCCAGUCAAACCCGUCGUACGUUGGAGGCGAGGAAGAGGAAGACAUACCUGACAUGGGAGAGUACGAGGAAGCUGACAAUCUUAUAGAAACAGAUCCUGCUACCCUUCAGACUACAUAUCUUGUGGCUCAUGAGCCUGAUGAUGACAACAUUCUAAGAACACGAACAUAUGAUAUCAGCAUCACGUAUGACAAGUACUAUCAAACGCCUCGUGUAUGGCUCACUGGAUAUGAUGAGUCAAGGAUGCUUUUGCAACCAGAGCUCGUACUUUGAGGAUGUCAGUCAAACCAUGCACGCAAAACGGUGACCAUUGAAGAUCAUCCACAUCUUCCAGGGAAACAUGCUUCAGUACAUCCUUGUCGGCACGGGGCUGUGAUGAAGAAAAUUAUUGAUGUUCUCAUGUCGCGAGGAGUUGAGCCUGAAGUUGACAAGUACCUCUUCCUAUUCUUGAAGUUUAUGGCUUCCGUUAUUCCAACAAUUGAAUACGAUUACACCAUGGACUUUGAUCUUGGUAGCAGUAGCACCUGAUUUGCAGGCAACUUCCUUCGAUAGAUGCUGCACGUAACAUGUCAAGCACCAAUUACUCUGAUGACGAUGCAUCUGUUCGUGUCAUGAUCAGUGAUAAUUGUACAUACUGUUUAUAGACUUCCUUCUAGAUAGGUGGUGCAUGCAUGAUGAAUUGUCAGCAAUCCUUGUUAUUGUAUAUUGACAAGAAGAUUUAAAGGUUAUUUUGAGAUGUGAAUUUGCCCGAUGAAAUUGUUUAUUAAUGCCGUCUUCAAAAGUUAACUGAGUGAAAGCAACGAAAAGAAUCGA